ACGCCGGUAGUGCAGUUGGUUAGCAAGCGCUCCCGAAAAGGAUGAAAUGCGGGUUCGAUUUCCGUGUGACAUG